rnacentral:tRNA from 1 species
GGGCCAGUAGUCUAGCAUGGAUAAGGCACCUGCCUUCGGAGCAGGGUAUCGCAGGUUCAAAUCCUGCCUGGCCCGCCA